AGGUAAUUUUUUUAUCAAACGCCGCAGCUUAAAUAGCGAUUUAGCGGCGUUUUCUGUAUAAAUGCUGCAAAUGUUUUAUCUUUAACUGCGUUUGCUGAUGGAAAUGCCGCGAUUUAAUAACUUUUAACCUUUCCAACUUUUCACCAGGCUGUUUCCUUAACCCUUUCAACUUUUAGCAGAAAUCCCUAACUCCCUUCUCCCAAUCUGCCCUCUGCAACUUAGAGUUCCGUUAGUCAGCCUCUCCCUCCGUCGACCGCUCCCUCUGUCGACGUUUCCUUCCGUCGAACGCUCCCUCCAUCGCUCACUCCAUCGAUUGGUGUGUUCAGUCGAUUAAUCAGUCGCUGUCAUCUCCACUGGGGAAUUUCAAAUUGGUGAUGAUAUAAAACCAUUGGAUCCUCAAAGUGUAGUCAGUGUUGUUCGAGGCUAAUAAGUUGCAUUUUCGUCCUAUUUUUCUUGGAAAAGAAGGUUUAAUCCAGACUUCAUCUCUUUCUCGCUGAGAUAUGCGUGGCCAUCAACACACAUGCAGAGAGGAUUGACGUCAUCCACGUUCUUCAGAGCAUGUUUCUCAUAUUGAGAAGAUCCAAUCCAAGUCAAAUAAGGUAAAACUCCACAACCCAUUAUAGUUUAGAAAGUCAUGACCAUGUUGAAGCGUUUUGAGUUCCUUAAAUUUCAAUGUCGUGCAUUUUUGCAUAGUAAUGAAAUACAUGCCUUGGUAGUGAUUGGGUCUUCUGCGUACCAAAUAGUAUAUACUUGGCAGAUAAAGCCAUGUGUAAAGGUGACAAAUCGGUUUUAUCAUUAUAUCUUAAAAUUUUAGGGAAGAGUGAAUGAUUAAUAUUUGAUUGAUUGAAGAAGAAAUUAACGUAAAAGUGGUUGAAUGAAGUACUAAGUAUGCUAUUACCUUCAAUUCCUUUCAUGAAACUGUUGUUGGAUGAUGAAACUAUGAGCAGCUAGAUGUGACUGCUUUGCCUAGUUUUUGAAGUGAGCUGUAAGAUUCUUAUCCAUCUAAGAUUGUUUGAAUAGAAAGUUUAACAUUUGGGAGAACAAA